rnacentral:rRNA from 1 species
GUAGACGCUGGCGGCGUGCCUAAUCAUGCAAGUCGAGCGAACAGAUAAGGAGCUUGCUCCUUUGACGUUAGCGGCGGACGGGUGAGUAACACGUGGGUAACCUACCUAUAAGACUGGAAUAACUCCGGGAAACCGGGGCUAAUGCCGGAUAACAUUUAGAACCGCAUGGUUCUAAAGUGAAAAGAUGGUUUUGCUAUCACUUAUAGAUGGACCCGCGCCGUAUUAGCUAGUUGGUAAGGUAAUGGCUUACCAAGGCAACGAUACGUAGCCGACCUGAGAGGGUGAUCGGCCACACUGGAACUGAGACACGGUCCAGACUCCUACGGGAGGCAGCAGUAGGGAAUCUUCCGCAAUGGGCGAAAGCCUGACGGAGCAACGCCCGCGUGAGUGAUGAAGGGUUUCGGCUCGUAAAACUCUGUAUUUAGGGAAGAACAAACGUGUAAGUAACUUGUGCACGUCUUGACGGGUACCUAAUCAGAAAGCACGGUUACUACGUGCCAGCAG